CCCAGGGACACUUGGCACACAUGGCCUGUCCCUGCAGGGGACUGGGGACCACAGUCCUUGACCUCAUUUCGGUGAAAGCCAGGGCCAAGAGGUGCCAAUAGAAUGUCCCGGCCAUUCCCUGGCUCAUUUAUGGAGCCUUGUGGGUUCCAGGCCCUGGGCUGGGCACCUGGGAAUGAAGGGCUGGGGGAGGCCAGCCCUGCUCCAAGGAGCUCUCGCUAGGGCUGGGCUCAAAUUCGUGCUGCCUCGAUGCGCUGGAAGGAAUCAUCUGUAGAAGGCAGAAGCCCGGGCAGACCCGAGCAUGAGUGAGCAACAAAUCCCUUUCAGCCGUGCACAGGAGGCUGUCUCUGCUCUUUGGCACUGCCCAUGUUCCAUCCACGCUGCAGGUCUUUCCAACCGCCUGGCUGACCUGAGUUUAUGGCAGACCGUCACAGCGCAACUGGGAAAAGAAGCCAACAUCCCUUGCAUUUGGACUCUGGGUCCUUCACAGCCCGGGAUCUGGAGUACAUCAGAUGACAUCUUUGAACCUGAAUGUCCUCAUGAGGACGUCAGCUCUGUAGUUCCUUCUUUGCUAUAUCCACGACACCCAGCACGGUCCGUGGCUCCUAGCAGCAUGAGUAAGACACACGUUCAGCCUGCCCAGCCUGUGCCAUAGUCAGGAUUUAGUGUACGGGGAUAACCUUGAACACUGGAACAUAAUACAAACACUGGUUAUUGCUAGGACGUGUAAUAAAAGUUGGGCUUGCCGGUGUGCGAGCAGAAAGGUGAUGUGGGUGUCUCUGCAGGGAAGGGCGAAGUUCACCACAGGAAGGAGCUAACCCCAAGGGUGAGAUCCAGGCGCCUGCGACUU